rnacentral:rRNA from 1 species
GUGGGGGAUAUUGCACAAUGGGGGAAACCCUGAUGCAGCGACGCCGCGUGAAGGAAGACGUACUUCGGUAUGUAAACUUCUAUCAGCAGGGAAGAAGAUGACGGUACCUGACUAAGAAGCCCCGGCUAACUACGUGUCAGCAGCCGCGGUAAUACGUAGGGGGCAAGCGUUAUCCGGAUUUACUGGGUGUAAAGGGAGCGUAGACGGUGAAGCAAGUCUGAUGUGAAAACCCGGGGCUCAACUCCGGGAUUGCAUUGGAAACUGUUUUACUAGAGUGCUGGAGGGGCAAGCGGAAUUCCUGGUGUAGCGGUGAAAUGCGUAGAUAUCAGGAAGAACACCGGUGGCGAAGGCGGCUUGCUGGACAGUAACUGACGUUGAGGCUCGAAAGCGUGGGGAGCAAACAGGAUUAGAAACCCGAGUAGUCC